rnacentral:rRNA from 1 species
GGACCUGCGAUGCAUUAGCUAGUUGGUAAGGUAACGGCUUACCAAGGCGAUGAUGCAUAGCCCGAGUUGAGAGACUGAUCGGGCCACAUUGGGGACUGAGGACACGGGGCCCAAAACUCCUACGGGGGGAGGGGCAGCAGGUAGGGGGAAUCUUCCACAAUGGACGAAAGUCUGAUGGAGCAACGCCGCGUGAGUGAAGAAGGUUUUUCGGAUCGUAAAGCUCUGUUGUUGGUGAAGAAGGAUAGAGGUAGUAACUGGCCUUUAUUUGACGGUAAUCAACCAGAAAGUCACGGCUAACUACGUGCCAGCAGCCGCGUAAU